GACGAACGCUGGCGGCGUGCUUAACACAUGCAAGUCGAACGGAAAGGCCCUGCUUUUGUGGGGUGCUCGAUUGGCGAACGGGUGAGUAACACGUGAGUAACCUGCCCUUGACUUUGGGAUAACUUCAGGAAACUGGGGCUAAUACCGGAUAGGAUCUCCUGCUGCAUGGUGGGGGUUGGAAAGUUUCGGCGGUGCGGGAUGGACUCGCGGCUUAUCAGCUUGUUGGUGGGGUAGUGGCUUACCAAGGCUUUGACGGGUAGCCGGCCUGAGAGGGUGACCGGCCACAUUGGGCCUGAGAUACGGACCAGACUCCUACGGGAGGCAGCAGUGGGGAAUAUUGCACAAUGGGCGGAAGCCUGAUGCAGCAACGCCGCGUGCGGGAUGACGGCCUUCGGGUUGUAAACAGAUUUCGCCUGUGACGAAGCGUGAGUGACGGUAAUGGGUAAAGAAGCACCGGCUAACUACGUG
rnacentral:rRNA from 1 species